rnacentral:rRNA from 1 species
AAUGAACGUUGGCGGCGUGGAUUAGGCAUGCAAGUCGUUCGUCCCGCGAGGGACGAGGCGCAAGGGUGAGUAAGGCGACGGCAACCAACCUCCCGAUUGGGCAUAGCCGCGGGAAACUGCGGGUAAUACCCAGCGACGUCAGGCGGGGACCUCCCCGCGUGACCAAAGGUGCGAUUCCGUCGGGAGACGGGCCGUCGUGGUAUCAGCUAGAUGGCGGGGUAACGGCCCACCAUGGCGUUGACGCCUACCGGGCGUGCGAGCGUGGCCCGGCACACUGGGACUGAGACACUGCCCAGACUCCUACGGGAGGCUGCAGUCGAGAAUCUUCGGCAAUGGGCGCAAGCCUGACCGAGCGACGCCGCGUGGAGGACGAAGGCC